ACUGUGAAUGCGAAGCAGCAAGAAGUGCAGCUCCGAUUCCGGAACCAUCAUUCGAAUGCUCGAUUUUGAUGGUUUUGAAUACUUCUUCUCCAAGCAAUUCCUUUAGGCAGUUCUCUAAGCUGUUACGGUAUUCCUCGUAAUAAUGCCAAGUAGCCCGGCAGCCGAAAGACGAGCACCGCGUGUUGCGACAAUGUCACAAAGCUGAACAAUUACUUUUCUCAUCUUCAGAGAGGUAUUUGAUAUCUGAAAUAGAAAACAAUGACUCAGUUACCAUUCCAAAGAUUCAAAUGUGUCGGAUACAAAUAUGUUUAUAACCCAGAUAUACUCAAUUUUUUUCCCAGGGUCGUACUCCAAUACCUAUAUCUAAACGUCAAUUCCGAGUACUAGAAAUAAAUAUUUUGGAGAGAGUUAAAAGAGUCAGAGUAACAUAAGUUGCAAAGAAGCUUUCGGGCCAUUGAUUUUUGUAGGAAAUGAAAGGUCCUGUUGUAAAAUCGACUUCAAAGUGAUUUCGGUUUAACCAAAAUCAUGAAACAACUAUGUUAA